CCUACGGGCGGCAGCAGUGGGGAAUAUUGGACAAUGGGGGCAACCCUGAUCCAGCCAUGCCGCGUGUGUGAAGAAGGCCCUCGGGUUGUAAAGCACUUUCAGUGAGGAAGAACGCCUGGUGGUUAAUACCCAUCAGGAAAGACAUCACUCACAGAAGAAGCACCGGCUAACUCCGUGCCAGCAGCCGCGGUAAUACGGAGGGUGCGAGCGUUAAUCGGAAUUACUGGGCGUAAAGCGCGCGUAGGUGGCUUGAUAAGCCGGUUGUGAAAGCCCCGGGCUCAACCUGGGAACGGCAUCCGGAACUGUCAAGCUAGAGUGCAGGAGAGGAAGGUAGAAUUCCCGGUGUAGCGGUGAAAUGCGUAGAGAUCGGGAGGAAUACCAGUGGCGAAGGCGGCCUUCUGGCCUGACCCUGCCACUGAGGUGCGAAAGCGUGGGUAGCAAACAGGAUUAGAUACCCGUGUAGUC
rnacentral:rRNA from 1 species